UAAAAGCUAAAACAAAAACUAAAACCACCAUUAGUUUCAUAGAAACAUGGUAGAGACAAGAACCAACACAACUUUCAAAGAAAGUAAAGUGGAGUGAAACUACAACCACCAUAGUUUUUAGAAAAAAAAAAUAGAGUACAUUAUAACUAAAAAGACUAAAAUCUAAAAGAAAAAUUUAAAGAAAAUUGUUGGAAAGGCCAUGGUUGGCAACUAACCUGGAGGCCAAUGCUGCUGCCGAAAAGAUUAAGGGACAAUUUAGUAUAACUUUUAAAAAAUGUUUUUGGGAUAAAAAGUAUUUUAGGACAAAAAUAUUCUUUUUUUUUUUUUGAAAACUUCAGAGUAUAUAGUAUGAAACCAAAAAAUAAACAGCAAACAAUGAACAUCAAAUAAAAUGGCACAAACUCAGAACAAAUCUAGAUAUUUUAACCGAAUAGUCUAGAAAUCAUAAUAAUUACAUCUAAUUAAUGCCCAGUCAGAAAUUGCUGAACCCUGUCUUGUCAUUUGAGUCUUAUUUCUUUCUUUGCUUUUGACAGUUUAGUUUUUGGGAAAGUUGUUCUUCUAAAACCGAUUUAUUUGCUCUCUUUUCCUUUCCUCUCAGUUCUCUUCUUCCCCGUUCUCUCCUCAAUCCGGUUCUCUUCUCCACUCAAUCUUUCGUUGAUUUUCAGCAUACCCCAGGACCUUCAUAUCCAGGUACAUCUCUUCCUUCCUUUUUAGAGUUUCUACUGCCAAUAUAUGCGCGAGAGCAUUUGCAAAUUUUGGUGUGUGUUUGAAUAUGAAGCUUCUCGAUCUGUUCAGUUUUUGUUUAAUAUCAUAUAUAUAUGCUCCAAUAUCUGAAUGACCUUGACUCUUUGAUAUACAUUUCUUAAUUAUUGUGAGGGAAUCACCUUCAAUAAUGAUCUUCGGCCAUUCUUGUUCAACUCCUGUUUGGACCGCUUUUUGGCACGCUAUUGCUUCAGCUGCAAAGGCGAAAGUUACCCCAUGGUGGAUCUCUGAACAGGAAAGUAAGACAACCCCUUCUUCAUUUCUAGCUACAAUUCCUAAGGCAGAUUGUUGAUGAGUCGCAUCAUUAGCACCAUCAAAAUUAAUUUUGACGAACUCACUAGUCUUUUAUUUCUCUCUCCCCAGAUAGCCCAGAGACCGCAGCAGAAGAGUUUGUUCUGACAUGUAGUGAGCUGAUCAAAGAUCUAGGGAAUCCACUGUAAAAAAUCCAUGGUAGAAUUUAUAAGAAUAUUUUGAAGAUUUAAUAGUGUCCAAACUUCCACUGUGACAGGACAUUCGCGAAAGAUAUGAUCGAUUGUUUCAUUAUUUUCUCCACAUCGGGGGCAGCUUGUAUUACUAACGAGCUUUCAGUAGUGCAUAUUAAUCCUCGUAGGCAGAUAGUUCCAUGAAAUUCUCCAUACUGUAGCCUUUAUUUUAGUAGGUAGAUUUAGGAGCCAGAGUUUUUUGUAAGAAUUCUCGUAGUUGGUUUGUAAAGCAUAAGCUCUAGGAAUUUCAUCAAAAAGUUAUAAUAGUUUGUAGGCGCUGCAGACCAAGAAUUCCCCUGAAUGUUCACCUCCUCAGGCAAACAGAUCAUCCUGAGGUGUGCGCACUAAAGGUAUCUGGAUAAUUUUUCCAGCAUCGUCUUUUGAAAA